rnacentral:rRNA from 1 species
GUGCCAGCAGCCGCGGUAAUUCCAGCUCCAAUAGCGUAUAUUAAAGUUGUUGUGGUUAAAAAGCUCGUAGUUGAACCUUGGGCCUGGCUGGCCGGUCCGCCUCACCGCGUGCACUGGUCCGGCCGGGCCUUUCCCUCUGUGGAACCCCAUACCCUUCACUGGGCGUGGCGGGGAAACAGGACAUUUACUUUGAAAAAAUUAGAGUGCUCCAGGCAGGCCUAUGCUCGAAUACAUUAGCAUGGAAUAAUAAAAUAGGACGCGCGGUUCUAUUUUGCUGGUUUAUAGGACCGCCGUAAUGAUUAAUAGGGACAGUCGGGGGCAUCAGUAUUCAACUGUCAGAGGUGAAAUUCUUGGAUCAGUUGAAGACUAACUACUGCGAAAGCAUUUGCCAAGGAUGUUUUCAUUAAUCAGGAACGAAAGUUAGGGGAUCGAAGACGAUCAGAUACCGUCGUAGUCUUAACCAUAAACUAUGCCGACUAGGGAUCGGACGGUGUUAUUCAUGACCCGUUCGGCACCUUACGAGAAAUCAAAGUGCUUGGGCUCCAGGGGGAGUAUGGUCGCAAGGCUGAAACUUAAAGAAAUUGACGGAAGGGCACCACCAGGGGUGGAGCCUGCGGCUUAAUUUGACUCAACACGGGGAAACUCACCAGGUCCAGACACAAUAAGGAUUGACAGAUUGAGAGCUCUUUUCUUGAUUUUGUGGUGUAGUGCAUGGCCGUUCUUAGUUGGUGGGGUGACUUGUCUGCUUAAUUGCGAUAACGAACGAGACCUUAACCUGCUAAAUAGCCCGCAUUGCUCGGCAGU